UACGUAGGGUGCAAACGUUGCUCGGAAUCAUUGGGCGUAAAGCGCGCGUAGGCGGUUGCUUAAGUCGGAUGUGAAAGCCCUCGGCUUAACUGAGGAAGUGCAUCCGAAACUGAGCAGCUAGAGUACGAAAGAGGGUCGCGGAAUUCCCGGUGUAGAGGUGAAAUUCGUAGAUAUCGGGAGGAACACCGGUGGCGAAGGCGGCGACCUGGGUCGAGACUGACGCUGAGGCGCGAAAGCGUGGGGAGCAAACAGG
rnacentral:rRNA from 1 species